UGCAAGUCGAACGCUCGUACCAAUACGGGAGUGGCAGACGGGUGAGUAACGCGUGGGAACAUACCCUCCGGUUCGGAAUAGCUCAGGGAAACUUGGAUUAAUACCGGAUACGGCUGAGAGGCGAAAGAUUUAUCGCCGGAGGAUUGGCCCGCGUUCGAUUAGCUUGUUGGUGAGGUAACGGCUCACCAAGGCGAUGAUCGAUAGCUGGUCUGAGAGGAUGAUCAGCCACAUUGGGACUGAGACACGGCCCAAACUCCUACGGGAGGCAGCAGUGGGGAAUAUUGGACAAUGGGCGCAAGCCUGAUCCAGCCAUGCCGCGUGAGUGAUGACGGCCUUAGGGUUGUAAAGCUCUUUCGCUCGGGACGAUAAUGACGGUACCGAGAUAAGAAGCCCCGGCUAACUUCGUGCCAGCAGCCGCGGUAAUACGAAGGGGGCUAGCGUUGUUCGGAAUUACUGGGCGUAAAGCGCGUGUAGGCGGGUCUUUAAGUCAGGGGUGAAAUGCCAAGGCUCAACCUUGGAACUGCCUUUGACACUGGAGAUCUUGAGUCCGAGAGAGGUGAGUGGAAUUGCGAGUGUAGAGGUGAAAUUCGUAGAUAUUCGCAAGAACACCAGUGGCGAAGGCGGCUCACUGGCUCGGAACUGACGCUGAGACGCGAAAGCGUGGGGAGCAAACAGGAUUAGAUACCCUGGUAGUCCACGCUGUAAACGAUGGAUGCUA
rnacentral:rRNA from 1 species